rnacentral:rRNA from 1 species
UACGGGGGGUGCGAGCGUUGUCCGGAAUCACUGGGCGUAAAGCGCACGCAGGCGGUCGCGCGCGUGGGGUGUGAAAACUGGCGGCUUAACUGCCAGAGGCCAUCCCAUACGGCGCAACUCGAGCCAUGCAGAGGUCCACGGAAUUGCCGGUGUAGUGGUGGAAUGCGUAGAGAUCGGCAGGAACACCCAGGGGGAAACCAGUGGACUGGGCAUGUGCUGACGCUCAGGUGCGAAAGCGUGGGGAGCGAACCGG